rnacentral:rRNA from 1 species
GACGAACGCUGGCGGCGGGCUUAACACAUGCAAGUCGAACGGAAAGGCCCUGCUUUUGUGGUGUGCUCGAGUGGCGAACGCGUAAGUAACACGUGAGUAACCUGCCCUUGACUUUGGGAUAACUUCAAGAAACUGGGGCUAAUACCGAUUAGGAGCUCCUGCUGCAUGGUGGGGGUUGGAAAGUUUCGGAGGUUUUGGAUGUACUCGCGGCUUAUCAGCUUGUUGGUGGGGUAGUGGCUUACCAAGGGUUUGACGGGCAGGCGGCCCGAGAGGGUGACCGGCAACAUUAGGACUGAGAUACGGCCCAGAGUACUAAGGGAGGCAGCAGUGGGGAAUAGUGCCCAAUGCGCGGAAGCCUGAUGAAGCAACGCCGCGUGAGGGAUGGCGGCCUUCGGGUUGUAGACAGCUUUCGGCUGUAACGAAGAGUCAGUGACGGUAACGGGUAAAGAAGCACCGGCUAACUACGUG